rnacentral:lncRNA from 1 species
UAGGUUGGUUAAGCCACACUCGGGCUUAGAUAUUCGUUUGUUGGAUGCACUUGGUGUAGUCAUAUUAAUGGUUGGAUCUAAUCAAAAUUUUCAGUGGAGGUGCCACACGCCUGCUGAAGAGAUGUCUAGGGCAAAACCUAAUUGCUAAAAAUUAUUUGAUGAAAAAAUUAGCUAAGAACUUACCUAUGGAUGCACUAGGAUUGAUCGAGCCACAUUUGAGCCCAAAUACAGUCUGUGUAGAUUCUAGUACCUACUAAGAGAUUAAUGUAAUUCUUCGAAUUAGAAGUAGAG